GCAGUGAGCACCCAGCGCUCACUGACCAGUACUCCUCCAGAGGGAGGGAGGAGGAAGGAGGGAGGGAGGAGGAAGGAGCAUGCUGUAGCCCGUGUGGAAUGAUCUGUCAUCCCAGCUCCUUACAACAAAAGUCCCUGCUGGGUAUGGUGGUGCACCUGUAGUCUCAGCACUUGACAGGCUGAGGAAAAAAAGUUCAAGGCCAAGCCAGUUGUGGUGGUGCUAGUCUUUAUUUUUUUUAAUAUUUUAUUUAUUAUUUUUAUUUUUUUAAUGUGUGCAUGUAUUGCCUGCAUGUAGGUAAAGUGCACCGUGUCGUGCAAUGCCCAUGGAGGACAGAAGAGGCUGUCGGAUCCCCUGGAACUGGAGUUACGGACAGUUGUUAGCUGCCAUGUGGGUGCUGGGAUUCGAACUCAGGUCUUCUGCAAGAACAACCAGUGUUCUUAACUGCUGAGCCAUCUUUCCAACCCCGGUGCUAGUGUUUAAUCUCAGCACUGGGAAGCAGAAGCAGGUGGAUCUCUCUGAGACUGAUGCCAGCCUAGUCUACAGAAAGAGGACGCUGAGGCCAAGCAAGAGCAGUCACCUGACACAGAGAGCACAGCCCCAACACAGGGGAAGUUGGCUGGAGGCUGGCCCGCUCCUGGGCUUGCUGCCCCUCCAGCUUUCUCCUCAGGAUGGAGUCAACAUCAGAAUCAAGCAUGAGCUCCACUUACAAACUCUCCACAAAGUCCUUGCCCCCAUGAACUUGUACAUAAAUAAUUCUUUUUUUACCAGCUCACCAGGGCCUGUCUGUGGAUUUGACAGUGUGGCUGGGGCAGUUUGGGUUUCAAGAUUCUUAACUCUCCAGGGCGGGGUGAGUACUCCAGAGGCAGGAUCUCAAAUUUACGACCUACCCAGGCGGUAGGCGCUCUCCAGAGACCUAAACCACUGGGGCUGGAGAGCUGGCUCUGGCGGUAAGAGCACUGGCUGCUCUUCCAAGUGACAGGGGUUCAGUUCUCAGCACCCACAUGGUAGCUAACAACUGUAAUUCCAGUUCCAGGGGAUCUGACACCUUUUGACCUCGGAGGGCAUUGCAGGACACAGGUACACUUACACACAUGCAGGCAAUACAUUCGUACACAUAAAAGU
rnacentral:lncRNA from 1 species